CCACGAUGAUCAAUUAUUAAACUCAGUUUAAAGUUGUUUUUGUAUAAACUGCUAAUGCAAUUCCGUUUUUUUAUUUAUUCCAUUAACAUUCAUGCAGUAAUAUCAACAAAUUAAGAAAUUAAAACAAAUUAUGUGCCCUCAAAGAAAUCGCAUUCCGCAAAUUUUCGAUACAUUUAAAACAAUGUCUGACUGAAAUUAAAACAUAAUCAUGCUAUGAUAAUGGCACACGCUUAUUAAUUAAAAUGUGCAACUAUGUGGUUUUUUUUCGAGCUACUUAACAGUUUCUAUAAACAAUCCUGCCUAUAAUAAAUUGUUGCUCACGCCAGACACUUAAGACGUGCACAAAACAAAGGAUUUACAGAGAGAGAGAGAAAAAAAUCGUCACGGUGUUUGACAAAAAGCAUUCCAUUUGCAUUAUCUGUGCAUAUUAGUAAAGUAACAAACCACAAGCCAGGACGUCACUAAGUGGUAUUUAAGAGGCAGCGUCACAGGUGAAUGGAGAGAAGUGGAAGAACUGAAGCAUAGAAUAACUAUCGGACCACUGAGACAGCAGCGGAUUACCGAUCAACGUGUUCAGCAUAAUAUAUCUGCUAAAGAUUCUUAUUAUAACCACUGCACUCUUUCCAGAAUGGAGGGAAAAGCUUUUAUUAUAAUGUGCAUUCUCAUUGCAAAAGUCCAAUCCCAAAGUACAACAAUCUCCGUAACAGAUUCAACAUCAUCACUAUCAUCUGUUAGUACAACCAACACCUCCGCAACAUCCACAGCUACAACUUCUUCAACAACCACUACAGCUCCUGCUGAAACAUUCACCACUACUGCAGGAGUUACCACAACAGCACCACAAACUACUGUUACAACAACUGAAUCCUCCACAACAGCCACAACAACAAAUGCACCCUCAACUAUAGUUUGUUCAAAUCCAUGCACAAAACCAACAACUUUAACCCCAACAGGUUCUACCUCUGUCACAACAACUCUUACUGAGUCAUCAACCAUUAGUGCACCAGUCACAUCUGCUCAGUCUACAGCCUCUACAGCAUCUACAGAGCCUACAGCUUCUACAGUGUCAUCCACAUCUGCUCAGUCUGCAGCAUCUACAGCUUCUACAGCAUCAACAGAUUCUACAAUAUCUACAGCAUCUACAGAGCCUACAGCUUCUACAGUGUCAUCCACAUCUGGUCAGUCUACAGCACCUACAGCAUCUACAGAAUCUACAGCUUCUACAAUAUCUACAGCAUCUUCAGAGUCUACAGCUUCUACAGUAUCUACAGCUUCCACAGUCUCAUCCACAUCUUCUCAGUCUACAGCAUCUACAGAUUCUACAGCCUCUACAGCAUCUACAGAGACUACAGCUCCUACAGUAUCUACAGCUUCUACAGUGCCAUCCACAUCUGCUCAGUCUACAGCAUCUACAGAUUCUACAGCAUCAACAGAUUCUACAAUAUCUACAGCAUCUACCGAGUCUACAGCUCCUACAGUAUCUACAGCUUCUACAGCGUCAUCCACAUCUGCUCAGUCUACAGCAUCUACAGCAUCUACAGAGUCUACAGUAUCUACAGCUUCUACAAUACCUACAGCAUCUACAGAGCCUACAGCUCCUACAGUAUCUACAGCUUCUACAGUGUCAUCCACAUCUGCUCAUACUACAGCAUCUACAGAGACCACAGCAUCUACAACAUCUACAACAUCUACAACUUCCACAGCAACUACUGCAAAAAUAGUACCUGAGGUGCUAACAGUUCUGGAGUUUCGCUCUAAUGACACAUUUAUUAUUGCACUCAGCGAUAACAACAGUGAGGAGUUCAAGAGUAGGGCUAAGCUUGUCAAAGAUCAGAUUGAGCCCAUCUACAAAAUCAAGUAUGAUAACUUCCUCAGAGUGAUUGUCCUAGGAUUCAGUGAAGGGUCAAUCAUCACAUCAACACGACUAGCUUUCAGCUUAAAUCAAGCUAUCCCAUCUGUUGGAGAGAUUUCGAACACCCUCUUGACAGCAGUGGGAAACGGAGGUGUCAAUCUAUUGAACAUAAUUCCUCAAUCAAUUUCAGUCAAUGGUUCAGCUUCAGCUACCACUGUCACUCCUGCAGCAACCACAGCAACUACAGCUUCAGGUGGAUUAAAGAUUGAAUCCAGUCUGCUCCAAGCAACAUGCCUCGUCAUUAUGUCUAAAAUAUUAAAGCUUUUCCUAUAGAUCCCUUAAACAUAUAUCAAUCAAAUAUGAGAGUUCAGUAAUAAAUGCUAUAACAAAUAAUUAAAUGACA
ensembl:lncRNA